UCGGGAAUUUUGGGCAAUGGGCGAAAGCCUGACCCAGCAACGCCGCGUGAAGGAUGAAGUAUUUCGGUAUGUAAACUUCGAAAGAAUAGGAAGAAUAAAUGACGGUACUAUUUAUAAGGUCCGGCUAACUACGUGCCAGCAGCCGCGGUAAUACGUAGGGACCAAGCGUUGUUCGGAUUUACUGGGCGUAAAGGGCGCGUAGGCGGCAAUUCAAGUCAUCUGUGAAAUCUCCGGGCUUAACUCGGAACGGUCAGAUGAUACUGCUUUGCUAGAGUGCAGAAGGGGCAAUCGGAAUUCUUGGUGUAGCGGUGAAAUGCGUAGAUAUCAAGAGGAACACCUGAGGCGAAGGCGGCCAACUGGCUCGAUACUGACGCUGAGGUGCGAAAGCGUGGGGAGCAAACAGGAUUAGAU
rnacentral:rRNA from 1 species